AGGGCCACCGGGUCCACCGCGCGGGUGAGCAUGAGGUAGUUGCGGAUCAUGAUCUCGUGACGGUUCUC
rfam:Nocardia soli strain Y48, complete genome.